UACGGAGGGGACUAGCGUUAAUCGGAAUUACUGGGCGUAAAGCGCGCGUAGGCGGUUGUUUAAGUCGGAUGUGAAAGCCCUGGGCUCAACCUGGGAACUGCAUUCGAUACUGGGCAACUAGAGUAUGAAAGAGGGAGGUAGAAUUCCAUGUGUAGCGGUGAAAUGCGUAGAUAUAUGGAGGAAUACCAGUGGCGAAGGCG
rnacentral:rRNA from 1 species